rnacentral:rRNA from 1 species
GUGAAAUUGUUGAAAGGGAAACGAUUGAAGCCAGUCGUACAUUCGGGUGAUCAGCCUUUCGGGUGCGAUUAUGUGGAGUGUGAGGAGCUUAAACACCUUCAUGUUUUGCAUAUUCGUACUCUUGGGUGUACUUGACCGUGUGGUUGGUUAACAUCAAUUUUGGUGUUCAUAAAAUGACUGGAGUGAUGUAGCUUCGAUCUCGUAUUGAAGUGUUAUAGCCUUCGGUAGAUGGGAUGAUCUAGAUUUAGGAUUGCAACGGAUACCCUUCGGGGCUACCGGGCUGAUCUCUGAUCGUUGCUUUGGUGCCGAAAGCUUGCUUACGGUUAUCAAAGUCGACGGUCAAUAGGUUAGAACGGGUUAAAUUCGUUAAGGAUGUUGACGUAAUGGCUUUAAACGAC